UAUAAUGCAAAGCCUUAUGGUCACGUGAAAGAGUUAAGUGGAGUCCAUGCAUAUGAGAGGGAAGUUUUCUCCAUGCUACUUUAUGGUUUCUCUGAAUUUUUUAUGAAAUCUUCUGUUCUUUGCCCUUUCACCGUAAAUGUGGAGUCUCUUUGUGAGGCAAAUUUAAUGCAGAGUUUUGUUGCAGCACGUGGUGCUAUCAAAGAUCAGUAUUUUUCAACAACGUGCAGCGAUAUAUACAUGGAAAUGCAUUACAGAAUGAAGGAGCAAGAAAGAGAGAGCAAACAGCUGUAAGAUGAAAGAGUCUCAGUCAAGAACUCCUGCAGAGGUACCAAUCACAUAAUGAGGAAGUACUCACUGGGUCACAACAAGCAUUCUGUAUGAGUCAUAUUCUUUAAUAAUUUUAUGGUUAAUACAUGUACAGGGAGAAAAACCUUGUUCACAGAGUUAUCGUAUGUUAUUGCUUUGAAUUACGAUUCAUAUUUUAAUAUCAAUUUAAUGGAAUGUGGUUCACAUCAUUAUUGAAUCAUAUGAAUUUGGUAAUUUUUUGCAGUUA